rnacentral:rRNA from 1 species
UAUCGUUUAUUUGAUAGUACCUUACUACUUGGAUAACCGUGGUAAUUCUAGAGCUAAUACAUGCUAAAAACCCCGACUUCGGGAGGGGUGUAUUUAUUAGAUAAAAAACCAAUGCCCUUCGGGGCUCCUUGGUGAUUCAUGAUAACUUAACGGAUCGCAUGGCCUUGCGCCGGCGACGGUUCAUUCAAAUUUCUGCCCUAUCAACUUUCGAUUGUAGGGUAUUGGCCUACAAUGGUUUCAACGGGUAACGGGGAGUUAGGGCUCGACUCCGGAGAGGGAGCCUGAGAAACGGCUACCACAUCCAAGGAAGGCAGCAGGCGCGCAAAUUACCCAAUCCCGACACGGGGAGGUAGUGACAAUAAAUACUGAUACAGGGCUCUUUUGGGUCUUGUAAUUGGAAUGAGUACAAUUUAAAUACCUUAACGAGGAACAAUUGGAGGGCAAGUCUGGUGCCAGCAGCCGCGGUAAUUCCAGCUCCAAUAGCGUAUAUUAAAGUUGUUGCAGUUAAAAAGCUCGUAGUUGAACCUUGGGCCUGGCUGGCCGGUCCGCCUCACCGCGUGCACUGGUCCGGCCGGGCCUUUCCUUCUGGAGAGCCGCAUGCCCUUCACUGGGUGUGUCGGGG